rnacentral:tRNA from 1 species
GCAGGCGAGGGUUACUUCCUCUUCCAAAGGGGUGACGCGGGUUCGAAUCCCGUCGCCGGCC